ACAGGGAUUGCCCUAGUAACGGCGAGUGAAGCGGCAACAGCUCAAAUUUGAAAUCUGGCGUCUUUGGCGUCCGAGUUGUAAUUUGCAGAGGGCGCUUUGGCGUUGGCAGCGGUCCAAGUUCCUUGGAACAGGACGUCACAGAGGGUGAGAAUCCCGUACGUGGUCGCUAGCCUUUACCGUGUAAAGCCCCUUCGACGAGUCGAGUUGUUUGGGAAUGCAGCUCUAAAUGGGAGGUAAAUUUCUUCUAAAGCUAAAUACUGGCCAGAGACCGAUAGCGCACAAGUAGAGUGAUCGAAAGAUGAAAAGCACUUUGGAAAGAGAGUCAAAAAGCACGUGAAAUUGUUGAAAGGGAAGCGCUUGCAGCCAGACUUGCCUGGAGAUGCUCAUCCAGGUUUCUACCUGGUGCACUCUUCUAUAGGCAGGCCAGCAUCAGUUUGGGCGGUUGGAUAAAGGUCUCUGUCGUGUACCUCUCUUCGGGGAGAACUUAUAGGGGAGACCACAUGCAACCAGCCUGGACUGAGGUCCGCGCAUCUGCUAGGAUGCUGGCGUAAUGGCUGUAAGCGGCCCGUCUUGAAACACGGACCAAGGAGUCUAACAUCUAUGCGAGUGUUUGGGUGUCAAGCCCGACCGCUUAUUGAAAGUGAACGGAGGUGGGAACCUUUCGGGGUGCACCAUCGACCGAUCCUGAUGUCUUCGGAUGGAUUUGAGUAAGAGCAUAGCUGUUGGGACCCGAAAGAUGGUGAACUAUGCUUGAAUAGGGUGAAGCCAGAGGAAACUCUGGUGGAGGCUCGCAGCGGUUCUGACGUGCAAAUCGAUCGUCAAAUUUGGGCAUAGGGGCGAAAGACUAAUCGAACUAUCUAGUAGCUGGUUCCUGCCGAAGUUUCCCUCAGGAUAGCAGUAACGUUUUCAGUUUUAUGAGGUAAAGCGAAUGAUUAGAGGCCUGGGGGUUGAAACAACCUU
rnacentral:rRNA from 1 species